GGGUCAAUGGUAAGGAAUCUGCCUGGUGUGCAGCAAGUCCCAGGUUCAAUUCCUGGCAUGGCCA
rnacentral:tRNA from 1 species